GACGAACGCUGGCGGCGUGCUUAACACAUGCAAGUCGAACGGAAAGGCCCUGCUUUUGUGGGGUGCUCGAGUGGCGAACGGGUGAGUAACACGUGAGUAACCUGCCCUUGACUUUGGGAUAACUUCAGGAAACUGGGGCUAAUACCGGAUAGGAGCUCCUGCUGCAUGGGGGGGGUUGGAAAGUUUCGGCGGUGGGGGAUGGACUCGCGGCUUAUCAGCUUGUUGGUGGGGUAGUGGCUUACCAAGGCUUUGACGGGUAGCCGGCCUGAGAGGGUGACCGGCCACAUUGGGACUGAGAUACGGCCCAGAAUCCUACGGGAGGCAGCAGUGGGGAAUAUGGCACAAUGGGCGGAAGCCUGAUGCAGCAACGCCGCGUGCGGGAUGACGGCCUUCGGGUUGUAAACCGCUUUCGCCUGUGACGAAGCGUGAGUGACGGUAAUGGGUAAAGAAGCACCGGCUAACUACGUG
rnacentral:rRNA from 1 species